GUUAUCACAACCACAAAGAAACUUAAAGUGAUUAUGGAGAAGAAGACAUUCAUUUCCCUUCCUCUCUUAUCUUUUCUUCUUCUCUGCCUUUUUUCCAUUGCUCAUUCUCAAGAUUCUGAGGAUCAAUCAAAAACAUGCCCAGUGAAAUUUGCAUCAACAGGGACAUGUUCUGGGCCAUUUGGAGUAUCAGAAUGUUACCAUGAAGCAAUGGCAAAGUAUGGAAAUAUCCCACCAAAGGGUUGUGAAUGCAUUCCUGAUGGCGCUAAUUCUCGCUUCUGCCUAUGCAAUAUCAUUUGUUAAUCGAUACGUACCAAUAUGACAAUCAAAUAAAUGAUGGAGUUCUUGUAAUAUACAAAGCCCAAUCAAUGCAUGUUAACUCAUUAUAUGUUUC